rnacentral:lncRNA from 1 species
CUGUUCCAUUGGUCUAUAUCUCUGUUUUGGUAUCAGUACUAUGCUGUUUUGGUUACUGUAGCCUUUUGUCUAAGUGAGGACACUUGUUUGUGCUUUCUAUAAUUUGGACAGCAUGAUAAGGUAGUUUUACGAAGGAAUUUUGCAUUUCUCACAAGACACUUUAUAUAUCUAUAAGUCACAGGGUUCUCCCCACCCCCCAACCCAGCACAGGGAAUUUGAAACUAAAUAAGGAAGAAACUAAAUAAGGUGAACCAGACUCAAUUCAAGUGAAUUUCAGUUCUAGGUUUCUGCUAUACACACUUUAAUGGUGAUUUUUAACCAUUAUUUAUAAGUUAUUGAUAGUUCUGAGGUCUAGUCAAACCUUCCACAGCAUUUAACCACAAGAUGCAUUUAAGUUAGAUGUAAAAACCAGAAAUCUAACUUGAGACCGACUUUGUAUAAGACUAAUUGAAAGGUUGAUUGUAGAUGGAAAAUUCAUAAACAUUUAGUGAUAGCUGUAGAUUUCAUUUCAACAUAACACAAUGGCAAAAUUAUAAUUCUAAUUUACAUUAAUUUAUAAGAAUGUUCUGAAAGUUGCAAACAAUAUCUAGAAAAAGUGAUUGUCCCAAAGUUCAGAUCCUUCAGUAUUAGAUACAUUGUUUUUCUGUACUAGUGCAGAAAAAAAAACCAAAAGCCAUUCAUUUCCUGCUGUGACUUGUCCUUCAGAAGGUGGGAUAGUUGCAUGGAAUGACUCAUUUCCUUCACAAACUAGAAGUUGCCAUUCUAACGAGAAAUGGCAGUGUGGAAAGCGAAUUAGUAAAUGUUAAAGUAUGAGUCCUAGGUAAUGGGACCUGUUCAUUAAUUUGGACAGUGCUGUGAAUAUGUGAGUUACUCAUUUUGAAAUAUACAUUGAAUUAGAUAUGAUUAAUAUUCCAGUUGUUAAAAACAGAUAAAGAUGUCUUAACCUGACAUAUUUCCUUUCCAUGAGUUUUAAAUAAGAACCUGAGAUCAUUUUACUGGGACUAUUAUAGAAGUAAUUUGUUUACGUGAUGACUCUGUUCAUGAACCUAAUAAGCUUGCUUUCUUGGUCAUUUUUUAGAGAAGGUUUUUAUUUGAUUGUUGAAUCAUAAAGAGACAGGACUCUUGCAUUCCAGCUUCAUCCUCUGGCUUUUCUGUGAUUUUUCCUUGUUCCUCAGUCUCUUCAUACAUAAAAGAAAUACAUCAGCAGUGGCUCUGAGAUGCAAAAAUAAAUAUAAUUGUCAAUAUUUAAAUUGUAAAACUUUAGUAGAUUAUUCUUAUUUUAAUUAAAGGAGGAAAAUAGACCCAAAAUGAUUUUAGGAGCUGAUUCAGAUAAAUUGGUCAGGUGGUUUAGAAUUUAAAUUCAUGGUUCUUUUCUACUGAAUUUAUUGGAUAAUAAUUUAUGCAUAUACAGAUAAAUUUGGUGCACUUUAAAAUGUGCUUAAAAAAUCUUGUGUUAAGAUCCUCUUCUUCCUGAAUCAGAGGUCCACAGGCCUAUUUUGGCCCACAGAGAUGUUUUGUUUGCUCAUAGAAAGUGUUGAUUUUUCUUUUAAGUUAUCAACCUAUAAAAAUACAGAUUUCACCUAAAAAAUAGAUUUCCAAUUACGCUUAAAGAAUCAUAAGAUCCAGCAAUGUCAGGUCUUUAUCUCUACAUAGCAACUGCUGCUAGUACUGAAUAACUUUCCCCUUUCAAUGGUGCAUGUGCCUCAGCACCAACAGUCUCUGGGAUGAGACCCCAGUACUACAAAUCAGGGUUUUCUCUGUUGACCUAGAUGAGAACAUUCUGACAUUGAGAAUAAACAGUUUAAGCAUCAUUAUUAAGUGGUAUUUGAAUUCAGAGAUUAGGCACAUGAACAAAACCUAGGGUACUGCUACCUUGAACUUCUUUUAGUAAGAAGCAAGUUCUUCUAACUUUCCUCUACUUUCUUUUAAGUUUGUCCAAAGGUGCAUUUGCAAAGGGAUUACAAAGACCAUGGCAGAACCAGCCCACCCCUCCCUAACACACACAUCACACGCUUAUUCCACCAGCUCCUCUAAUUAAAGGUCUCGCACAGCUCAUACGACUCCCAAAGCCAAUUAAACAAUGCUCACCCUUGUACCUCACAGUAGGUUGGGGAGUAGCUUGGAAAACGCUGUGAUUGAUAUGAAAAGUAGUAACGUAUUUUUAAGCACUUUUAGCACUGUUGUUACUCUAUGAGGCACAAGCUUUCAACAUAGUGGCCUUUUAUUUUCUGCGCUUUUGGAGUGUGAGAACACCAUAGAGGCUACACGCACCACGGCGUUUCUGUGGGCUGGGAAUCAAGGCCUGGAGAAGGGGGUGGGCAGCCGGGAAGUGACAGUGCAGGGAGGGGGAGUUGGCAGCUGUCAAAUGAAUGCAUUUCCCUCUUCUAUUAUCCUGCUAUCCGAAUGCUCCAUCUAUUCAUAUUCAUGGUUUCCAUCACUGUGCAUAGCACCAAGGCCAGCUUCCUUUUCACAUUUCAUCUUCUUGUCUUUCUUGGAGUUUCAUUUUGAUUUACUAAAAAUCAGUGGACUGCUUCUAAACAAGGAUCAGCUAAUAGAAACUGGAGGUAGUUGGUAGAGAAUCUACUGGGAGGAAUUUAUUUACAUACAAGAAGUUAAAGCCAAAUGUAUGUGAUCAAGAAUGGAAAACCAACUCUUCUGGAGGAAAACAUAAAUGUCUGCUGGGGAACAUGUAUUUGCUUUGGGAACCCUUGGGACCAAGAAAAUAAAAUGCUUAAUAACAACAGCAUAAUGAGGCUGUAGGAGUGCUGAAAGCAUUAAUUAAUGAACAAUUUUAAAGUUCUUCAGAAGCCCAGGGAGAGUUUAGAGUGGAUGGAUUCCUUUACUGACAAAGACUAAUAUGUUGGACUGCUUAGGCUGACUUGAUUAAACCAGAGCUAAAUUUUAAAACACACCUAAUUACAGUUUCCCUAUUUUAAAUGGAAUGCCUCAUAUUUAUUGGAGUCCUAUUAUUCUAUUGAGAUGAACCACGGUUAACCACAUCCAUAUUUUUUAAUAUUUAGGCUGUAGAACUAAACUUUUACAUGUACCUGGAGAAGUUUAGAAGUUGACAUUAUACUGUCCUUACAUGUGACGUCCCACUUUGCAACAAAAGAGCCAUAGGAAGGCAGGCCCUGAACUGACCAAUCGAAUAACCUGAGAGUCUGAUCAGAAGAAUGCAUGCUAUGUAAAUAGAUCACGUUUGGGCAAGUGCUUCCUAUUGCUGUCCAUUGAAACUUAACACUUUCAGUGGUCCUUCUGAGUUUAACAGGUUUCUAUCUCCUGGCAAUAAAACCAGACUUUGCUAUA